GAUGAACGCUAGCUACAGGCUUAACACAUGCAAGUCGAGGGACCGGCGCACGGGUGAGUAACACGUAUCCAACCUGCCCUUUACUCGGGGAUAGCCUUUCGAAAGAAAGAUUAAUACCCGACAUAAAGGAUGGGGAUGCGUUCCAUUAGGUUGUUGGUGAGGUAACGGCCCACCAAGCCUUCGAUGGAUAGGGGUGCGGAGGGGAAGGUCCCCCACAUUUGAGCUGAGGCACGGACCAAACUGCUACGGAGGACAGCAGUGAAGAAUAUUGGGCGAGGAGCGCUAGCGUGGACCUGCCAAGUAGCGUGAGGGAGGAAGGGGUAUGGGUGUUAAACUUCUUUUAUAGAAGGAGAUGUAUUAUAUGAAUAAGCAUCGGCUAACUCCGUGCCAGAAGCCGCGGUAAUUC
rnacentral:rRNA from 1 species